rnacentral:rRNA from 1 species
GUGUCAGCCGCCGCGGUAAUACGUAGGGUGCAAGCGUUGUCCGGAAUUAUUGGGCGUAAAGAGCUCGUAGGCGGCUUGUUGCGUCGGCUGUGAAAUCCCGGGGCUUAACUCCGGGCGUGCAGCCGAUACGGGCAGGCUAGAGUCCGGUAGGGGAGACUGGAAUUCCUGGUGUAGCGGUGAAAUGCGCAGAUAUCAGGAGGAACACCGGUGGCGAAGGCGGGUCUCUGGGCCGGUACUGACGCUAAGGAGCGAAAGCGUGGGGAGCGAACAGGAUUAGAUACCCUGGUAGUCC